AGCGCAGGCGGGAAGACAAGUUGGAAGUGAAAUCUAUGGGCUCAACCCAUAAACUGCUUUCAAAACUGUUUUUCUUUGAGUAGUGCAGAGGUAGGCGGAAUUCCCGGUGUAGCGGUGGAAUGCGUAGAUAUCGGGAGGAACACCAGUGGCGAAGGCGGCCUACUGGGCACCAACUGACGCUGAGGCUCGAAAGUGUGGGUAGCAAACA
rnacentral:rRNA from 1 species